GACGAGGGCGCGAGCGUUGUCCGGAUUUAUUGGGCGUAAAGAGCUCGUAGGCGGCUUGUCGCGUCGAAUGUGAAAUCUCAGGGCUCAACUCUGACAUUGCAGCCGAUACGGGCAGACUAGAGUUCGGCAGGGGAGACUGGAAUUCCUGGUGUAGCGGUGAAAUGCGCAGAUAUCAGGAGGAACACCGGUGGCGAAGGCGGGUCUCUGGGCCGAUACUGACGCUGGAGGAGCGAAAGCCGUGGGGGAGGCGAACAGG
rnacentral:rRNA from 1 species